rnacentral:rRNA from 1 species
UGACGGCCUUCGGGUUGUAAACCGCUUUCGCCAGGGACGAAGCGUGAGUGACGGUAAUGGGUAAAGAAGCACCGGCUAACUACGUGCCAGCAGCCGCGGUGAUACGUAGGGUGCGAGCGUUGUCCGGAUUUAUUGGGCGUAAAGGGCUCGUAGGUGGUUGAUCGCGUCUGAAGUGUAAUCUUGGGGCUUAACCCUGAGCGUGCUUUCGAUACGGGUUGACUUGAGGAAGGUAGGGGAGAAUGGAAUUCCUGGUGGAGCGGUGGAAUGCGCAGAUAUCAGGAGGAACACCGGUGGCGAAGGCGGAUCUCUGGGCCUUUCCUGACGCUGAGGAGCGAAAGCGUGGGGAGCGAACAGGCUUAGAUACCCUGGUAGUCCACGCUGUAAACGGUGGGUACUAGGUGUGGGGUCCAUUCCACGGGUUCCGUGCCGUAGCUAACGCUUUAAGUACCCCGCCUGGGGAGUACGGCCGCAAGGCU